CCUACGGGCGGCAGCAGUCGAGAAUCAUUCACAAUGGUGGAAACCCUGAUGGUGCGACGCCGCGUGGGGGAAUGAAGGUCUUCGGAUUGUAAACCCCUGUCAUGUGGGAGCAAAUUAAAAAGAUAGUCCCACAAGAGGAAGAGACGGCUAACUCUGUGCCAGCAGCCGCGGUAAUACAGAGGGCUCAAGCGUUGUUCGGAAUCACUUGGCGUAAAGCGUGCGUAGGCUGUUUCGUAAGUCGUGUGUGAAAGGCGCGGGCUCAACCCGCGGACGGCAACUGAUACUGGGAGACUAGAGUAAUAGAGGGGGAAGCGGAAUGCGCGGUGUAGCAGUGAAAUGCGUAGAUAUCGAGAGGAACACUCGUGGCGAAGGCGGGUUCCUGGACAUUAACUGACGCUGAGGCACGAAGGCCAGGGGAGCGAAAGGGAUUAGAUACCCCUGUAGUC
rnacentral:rRNA from 1 species